GGUAACAGUACUCCCAGUAUCUACUAUAAGGGCAAACCUCUGAGGAGGAGUUCCAAUCCAAAGGCGAGUCGUAUAAUAUCCGUUAAGGAGGAGAUCGUCGUGGAGAGGCAUACGAGCACUUGAAGGGCUUUUCUGGAGGUGUCGACGGGAGAGUUCAUCGCGUGGUGGAGAGAUUUCUUUAGGAGGAAAGAGAGGGAGAAACAUUGUAGUGUGGUUGUUUCUGUGAUUCCCUUCGCCAUUGCCAUUCGAUGAGGAGAGAAAAACGAAGCUUUCAUUUGAAA
rnacentral:misc_RNA from 1 species